UUAGCACUGAAAACUCUGUAUUUCAAUAAACUCCCCAGACCUGGUAAACCGGGAUGAUUGAUCACCCUAGUUCUUGCCCUCUUUUCCUAUGAGCAACAUGAGGAUCAUGACCCACUGAGGAAGAUUCUAGGAUCUGAAGAUGCUCAUUAUCUAUAUAACACAGCUUCUUAACCCAAACCAGGAUCUCCAGCAGGCACUUACUCAAGAUGCAGGGAAGAAGCCCUGGAGGAAACGCUGGCUGUAUCAGAUUCAGUGAGGGAUAAUGCCUCUGUCUCCACUUGGCAUCUUCCUAAGAGGUUUCCAAGGACAAAUGUGACUCUAUCAGGUUUUCGCCUUGAGUGUUGAUGCUGGCCUCCAUUGUAUAUACAGUGGGAAUACACUCGAUAUUCUAAUUGAGAAAUGCCUGACUCUCAUCCCCAGCUUUGAAUUUUAACUCCUCAAAGCCCAAAGUGACUUCUCAGGAAUGACCCACACCAUGAGCUCAUAUCUAUCUUCCUGAGGCCUGCCCAGACCUGUCGAAGUACAGAGAAGAAGGCAAGGCCUCUGCUCUUGAGAAGUAGAAAACAUAUGAGGAAGAAAAUAGCAGAUGAGAAGAAUCAACCAAAUUCCGGAAGCUGGAAGGCAGAUGGCUAUUUGAUGUGGCAGAAAUGACCACCCUUCCAGUAUCUACUAUCCUCUUCUUCCCCCCUCCACUGCGUCCUGCACUGCCGAAAUGGAGUUUCGCGCUAUCACCCAGGCUGGAAUGCAGUGGUGCGACCUUGGCUCACUGCAACCUCUGCCUCCCAGGUUCGAGCAAUUCUCCUGACUCAGCCUCCCAAGCAGCUGCGAUUACAGACAGGGCUUCACCAUGUUGUUCUGGUCUUGAACUCCUGGGCUCAAGGUGUCCACCUGCCUUGACCUCCCAAAGUUCUGGGAUUACAGGAGUGGCGUGCUGUGUGGAUAAUGAAUGUUGGGGAAGGUGUCUCUCUCCAGCCCCUCUCAAGCUUUCUGUAGUCGCUGGUCCACUCUGUAUUGCUGUGAAGACGCUCAAGACCAGCCUGUAUCACUCGGGGUCCUGGCAGGAACCAGAUGCCAUUCUCAAACUGAGUCAUUGAAGAGGGUUUAAUAUGGGAGUUAUUUACAAAGGUGUGGGCUGGUGUAGCUGCCCAUAUGCCCUUGAAAUCACCUCUACAUGGCAAGAGCUACUUACUGCCAAAAGAAUCUCUCUCUCGUUGCUGCAAGUAUUUUCUAGCCAUGCGAGCAAGCUCAGACAGUUACGCUGAACAAACUAAGAGUGCCAGGAAGUUAAUGUUCUGGAAGCAUUGCCAGAGGGGAGGGGGCAGAUAGAUUCCUCAGCUUCCUCGCUGGGGACCUCAGUUGGGUUAAGCCUGUGACAUAUUUGUCAUCUCCCAGAGUGCUGCCCAGGGAUAGAGCUCCAGAUGCUCAGUGUGGUGACCUGCCCGUGUCAGCUUCUUCCCCUUUCCUGUCUUGUUUCUGCAGCCACAUCCUUCCCAUGUUUCCUCUUCCCAAAUAAACUACUUGCAUUCAAA
rnacentral:lncRNA from 1 species